CCCUACCCCACUCGAAAUCACUGUACCGGGUGUGUGAGUGCAUUCAUUCAUCCAUCACUGAGUCAAGGUCUGCCGGACAGACCUCCAUAGGUGGUGAUCAGCCUCUCAGUGACCCCAACAUGACCGAGGUCUCACUGUGGUUUGUCUUUCUUUACUUUACAGGGAGGUAGAGGAUACGGUCUCUUGCUAGAACCUUCUGUGUCACCCAAUGGCAUACAUGGUGAUCAGUACACCUGCUUUAUUCACUUUAUUCAGGCUGGUGCUUCCAACAAGGGAACAGCAGUGCAUUCAAAGCCUGGACUUGGACCUACAUGAGCUGUUAAUCCUUUAAAACUGCACCUGCAAUGCCUUUCAGCCACGAAGGUGAUGGAAAUACUUGUUUUUGCUUCUCAUCCACACAAACCCUCCACCGUGCUUCUCAAUUUCUGGAAAGUAAGGUUCCAUGUGCUUGCUUCAGUUGUCUGUUGCAAUGUAACAAACCACCCCUAAACAUGGUACUAUGAAAGGUCAACCAUUUUAUUUCUUCCUGAUCCUCUGGGUGAAAAUUUGCUCCGGGGAGAGGGGACGUGGGUCAUCUCCGAGCCACAGUAAUGGAAGCCUUCGCUGCAAUGAUCCGAAUGCCUCAAUUAUCUGGGAUGCCUGAACCGGUUUCACAUCUGCGGUCUCAAUUUGCCCUGUCCGCUGCUUCCUCAGUUUUCCACCACUGGCUUCCCCACCGGGUUAACUUAGGCUUCCUCCCUGCAUGGCAGCCUCAGGAUAGCACUGCCUCCUUCUAGUCUGUGGCUUUUGUCCCUGCUAGACAGAAUCCUUGACCCCCAACAGUAUCUACAUCCUAAUCCAUGGGACCUGUCUCCUGGCACAAGAGACUUUUCAGGUGUGCUGAAGGUAAGAAUUUCAAGAUGGGGAAAUUAUUAUGGAUUAUCCAAGCAAGUGCUAAAUGUAAUCAAAAUAGGGAGACAGAAGUCUGAGAAACAAGACAAAUGUGUGACAGUGGAUGCAGAAAUGAAAGGAAGGGAGAGGGAGAAAGAGGAAGAGAGGGAGAGAUUUGACUCUGCUGGCCUUGAAGAUGGAGGAAGGAACCAUGAGUCAAGGAGUGGAGGUAGCCUCUAGAAGCU
rnacentral:lncRNA from 13 species